rnacentral:lncRNA from 1 species
GCGAGACAGGCUACAUUAUAUUUUUGGAGGCUGUGUUUCGAUCUUGUCCUACUAAUUUAUUUUCUUUUUGUGCGCGUGUAAAAGCCACAAACCAUAAAGCCGACGGCCGAUACAAGACAAAGCUAUAGUCACAAGCUAAACAGAACGAGCAAAGUUGUAAUAUAAGAAGAUAUUUCGGAGAUUCCUACAUGGUCCAGAGCAGCAAAGCCAUCAACUAAACAAGACAAGACAAGACAAGACAGUUCAUGUGCAGAAAUCAGAGAUAGCGUUUUGAUUUUGUAUUUUUAUGUGACCAUGGAUCAGGAAUUUUACUCUACUCAAAAUGGAGGAUUUUCGAAAAUGUCACAACCAAAAAGAUCAAGAGACAAACGUAGCAAAGAUCCCAUGAAAUGGUUGUAAUAGUAUAAUGAAAUGGAGGAAGAUGAAAGUGAACCAGAAGAAAACGAAAGCGAAUCGGAUAAUGAUUUUGUAUAUGAGAGCGAACAUGAUACAGAUAGUGAACAGGGAGCUGACGAGAAAAGUCUGGACGAUGAAAAUGAAGAGAUGCUGGAUAAUGAUACAUAUCUUGCCAAGGAUGGAAUGACGAGGUGGAGAAAAGGUAAUUUUCCUCUCAAUGUUAGAACACGGCCUUGCAAUAUUAUAACGCACUUGCCAGGUCCAAGAAAAGAAAAUUCAGUAAUUGAUAUUUACUAUUUAUUUUUGGACGAGGACAUUAUUGGGACCAUUGUAGAAUCAACAAAUAUUUAUAUCCAGAAAGUUCGUGCUAAAUUUGGAAAGGAAAGAGAUGCUAGGGAGACUGAUGCUUUAGAGGCUCGAGCUUUUAUCGGUUUGUUAUACCUUAUUGGAUCUUUACGCUGUUCUAAAAAAAAUGUCAGUAAAUUAUGGGACAAUUCAAAAGGCAACGGUCUCGAAUCAUGUUAUUUAUGUAUGUCGGAAAGGCGUUUUAGAUUUCUUUUGAGAUGUCUAAGGUUUGAUGACAUUCGGGAUAGGGAACAAAGAAAGGCUCUUGAUAAACUAGCACCAGUUCGAAAAAUAAUGGAACUGUUCAAUAAAAAUUUUCAGAAGUAUUUUUGUCCAAGUGAAUAUCUUACUGUCGACGAGCAGCUAUUGUCAUUUCGAGGAAGAUGUCCAUUUUGACAAUAUAUUCCAAGUAAACCUGCCAAAUAUGGUUUGAAGGUUUUUGCGCUUGUCGACUCGAAAAAACAGCUUACACGCUAAACUUAGAACCAUAUGUUGGCAAGCAGCCAGAUGGGCCAUAUAGCAUUAGCAAUGCGGCUGAAGAUAUCGUCCUUCGUUUAGUGGAACCAGUAAGAGGAAUAAAUAGGAACAUUACUGGUGAUAACUGGUUUUCUAGCCUUUCCUUAGCAAAAAAGCUACAGAGUAUAAACCUCACGUAUGUUGGUACUAUGCGUCAAAAUAAGAGGGAAAUACCCAAAGACUUUUUACCAAACAAGAGCCGACAAAUAAAUUCGUCAAUCUUUGGAUUUCAGAAAGAUUGUAGUCUGGCAUCCUACUGCCCCAAAAAAGGUAAAGCAGUUCUAAUAUUAUCUACAAUGCUUUUUGAUGGAGCCAUAGAUGGUUCAACAAGCGAAGCACAAAAGCCAGAAAUGGUCACUUUUUAUAAUAUGACAAAAGUUGGGGUUGACCUUUUGGAUCAAUUGUGUCAAAAAAAUAACGUGCAACGCAGUACAAGACGAUGGCCCAUGGUACUGUUUUAUGAUUUUCUGAACAUAGCGGCAAUAAAUUCGUUUUGUGUCUAUAAGCACCAUUGUGCAGCUUCAACAACAAAUACCAAAAGAGCUGAAUUUCUAGAAAAUCUAAGUUGGGCUCUAAUAAAACCACAAAUAGAACGGAGGGCGAGCAUCGAAACCCUCCCAAGGGAACUUCGCAGAAGUUACUUGUUGGGAUCCAGGAGGAGGCAGUGCACAACUUGAUAAAACCGGUUCACGAGGACGGUGCUAUCAGUGUGGGAGGCAACGUAAUAAAAUAAGCAGAAAAUGGUGUUACAAAUGUAAUAAUUGGGCCUGUCUAGACCACCUUAAAAAUAUUUGUACCAGUUGUGUUGAGAAUCAGUAAAUACUUAUAUUUACUAUAGUACUUUUGGUUACUUAUUUAUAAUUAAUUGUAGUUCUAUUAAAAUCAAAAUCAGUUUAUCAAGUUGA